rnacentral:lncRNA from 13 species
AUGGGAGCAGUGCUCAGCUGGGUUAUUGCAAGCCUCUACACUGUGGUGGUGGAAACAGCUGUGAUUGUGGGACUUGGCAGCACCCAGGAAGCUCUAGAGGACUCGGAGGGACUGCAGAACACAGAGGGAUUACAAUUAGAGGUGGAGGAGGGGGAUUUGGGACCCGGCGACCCCCAAGACUGGAGCCAGGACGAGGCGAGGAAGUGGAGCGGUGGUGGGAGUGACAUCACCUUGUCGGAGGAGUACUUUGACUCGUGUUCAUGGAACAGUGACACGUUGUGUGACACGCUGUCGGACCUGAGCGCGGACAGCAGCGAGGACUCUCUGUCUGCCAUACUGGGGGUGGAGGACAUACGCACGGGAUGGAAGAACAACAGCUACCACACCGCAGGGCACUGUAGAGCCAGACACACAGCAGAGAAGAGCCAGCACAACCACAGCACAGAGAACACAGAGACUCACGUAUGCAGACCCAGCACAGAGAAACAGCCCAGCACAGAUACAGCACAGAGUCAGCCUUGCAACACAGAGAUAACAAACACAUACAUAAACACAGAGAAAUACAGUGUUGAGAUUCAUAACCAACAACACAGCACAGAGAAACUCACAGGGAAGAAGCAACACAAACACAGCACAGAGAAACUCACAGAGAAGAAGCAACACAAACACAGCACAGAGACAGAACCCCAGCGUAGCACAGAGAAACUCACAGAGAAGAAGCAACACAAACACAGCACAGAGACAGAAACCCAGCAUAGCACAGAGAAACACAUCACAGAGACAGAUACCCAGCAUAGCACAGAGAAACAUAUCACAGAGACAGAUACCCAGCAUAGCACAGAGAAACACAGCACAGAGACAGAUACCCAGCAUAGCACAGAGAAACACAGCACAGUGGUUCAUGUCACUCAAAUCACCGGUCAUCAGAAAACACUAAUACACCAGACAGAGUCCCACAGACAAAAUUGCCCAGCCGGACACCAGCUCGACAUCUCACAAAGCACAGAAACGUUUACACAGAGAAACAGCACAGAGACACAAACGCAGAGCAGCACAGAGAAAUGGUGCACAGUGUUAGCCAACACAGGUAGAACAGGGAAAGNNNNNNNNNNGGCAAGUUGCUGCGGGGGGAGCAGAGCUGUUGGGUAGGGGUAGCCAGGUGGAAAACAUGGCCAGACGUAGAAAAAUGCUUAUUGAAAUUCUUGAUAUCAUAGAUUUAUCGGUGGUGACAGUGUUUCCUAGCCUCAGUGUAGUGGGCAGCUGGGAAGAGGUGCUCUUAUUCUCCAUGGACUUUAAAGUGUCCCAAAACCUUUUGGAACUACUGCUUCAGGAUGCAAACUUCUGUUUGAUUAAGCUGGCCUUUGCUUUCCUAACUGACUGAGUAUAUUGGUUCCUAACUUCCCUGAAAAGUUGCAUAUCGCGGGGGCUAUUUGAUGCUAAUGCAGUACGACACAGGAUGUUUUGUCUAGGUCAAAGGCAGUCAGGUCUGGAGUGAACCAAGGGCCAGUCAGGUCUGUUCUUCUUAGUUUUUUGAAUGGGGCAUGCUUAUUUAAGAUGGUGAGGAAAGCACUUUAAAAGAACAACCAGACAUCAUCUACUGAUGUGAUGAGGUCAAUAUCCUUCCAUAAUACCAGGGCCAGGUUGAUUAGAAAGGCCUGCUCACUGAAUUUUUUUAGGGAGCGUUUGNNNNNNNNNNNNNNNNNNNNNNAGUAGUCCACCCACCACAGAGGCAGAGAGGACUAGUCCACCCACCACAGAGGCAGAGAGGACUAGUCCACCCACCACAGAGGCAGAGAGGACUAGUCCACCCACCACAGAGACAGAGAGGAGUAGUCCACCCACCACAGAGGCAGAGAGGACUAGUCCACCCACCACAGAGAGGAGUAGUCCACCCACCACAGUGAAAUACAACCCAGCACCACACAGUUUAGAAACCACAGGGAAGGUCCAUUCAGCCAGUCCAUGUGUGGGUAUCCCCAACGGACCUGUCACAAAGACCCAGCCUCAGGCCUUCCUCAGUGCUACAAAGACUCACGUUGAGGCAUGUGGAUCAUGUGCCCACUGCCAGGAAGAGCACAAGGUGUGUGUCACAACCAGAAACUCAGCAGAGCCACCUGAACCGUCGGGGACAGAGGAGACAG